AGAGCGAACGCUGGCGGCAGGCCUAACACAUGCAAGUCGAACGGAUCCUUCGGGAUUAGUGGCGGACGGGUGAGUAACACGUGGGAACGUGCCCUUUGGUUCGGAACAACUCAGGGAAACUUGAGCUAAUACCGGAUGUGCCCUUCGGGGGAAAGAUUUAUCGCCAUUGGAGCGGCCCGCGUCUGAUUAGCUAGUUGGUGAGGUAAAGGCUCACCAAGGCUACGAUCAGUAGCUGGUCUGAGAGGAUGAUCAGCCACACUGGGACUGAGACACGGCCCAGACUCCUACGGGAGGCAGCAGUGGGAAUCUUGGACAAUGGGCGCAAGCCUGAUCCAGCCAUGCCGCGUGAGUGAUGAAGGCCUUAGGGUUGUAAAGCUCUUUCGGACGGGACGAUAAUGACGGUACCCGUAGAAGAACGCCCGGCUAACUUCGUGCCAGCAGCCGC
rnacentral:rRNA from 1 species